UGUUCGAUUUGCUUUGUGCUUUAUUGAGUUGAUUUUGGAGGGACACUAGCUCCCUGAAACGAAAUUUUACAUGUGUGUGCUACUGAUUUUGAGCAUAAAGGCAGCCUAUUGUACUCUUGUUCCAUUUGUGUUAAAGCUCUAAGAAUGCUACUACUGUUAUGAGAUUCCUAUAACCAUGGUUCUAUGUUCUUGAGCUAGCAUGAUGUUCUAAACAAGGGCAGAGGGUGUGCUUGUGUUAUAUUGGUUGUGGUCCUUAAUUUGUGGUGCCUCUAUAUGAUGACAUGAAAAACUGGAUUGGGAGAAAGGGGGUGGAGGUGUUUACCUCUCGGUAUCACGGCUGCUUCGAGAAAAUCUGCCUUUGGUCUCGGUUUUCCUCCCUCUCGAGCUGGCUACUGCUUGUUCUUGGUUUUCACUAGAGUUUUGCUGAAUUUUGUGAUGUGUAGGAGGGUGUUCAAAGGUGGUGUGGGUGGGCUUUUUAUAGGCUGAAAUCUUGAGGUACUAUGGGGGAUUAAUUGGGGUUGUCACACUAUUUUGUUCCCAUCCUACAGAGGAUCUCCUUUGACUAUGAUUCUGCAGUAGGAUAUACUUGAGAGAUGGCUUUAUUUGAGUACUUAGUACAUGGAUAUUAAUUCAUACUUGUUUGUUGUGGCUGGUGAGAAACAGGUGCUGCAUUGGCGUGACAUAUUGCAGGCUGGACUGCCCUUUUUGGGUUGGGAGGAGACUGGCCGCCGAGCUGCUGCCCGGGGCGGAUCGAUGCUUCGGGCUCCACGGCUGAUCGGCUACAGCCGUGAACUCUCGGCCCGGAGGAAGAGGCCCGAUGCCAUUUGUUCCAUGCACAUUUUACCUUUCCCUUUCUUCCUUUCCUUUAUUGGAAGCCUUGUUCUAAGUAUUGUAGUAUUUUGAAAAUUAGUUGUUCGUUUAUUGUAUAAGAAUUGCUAUUCGAAAAUU